AACGUAGGAGACGAGCGUUGUUCGGAAUUACUGGGCGUAAAGGGCGCGUAGGCGGCCCGCUAAGUCGAACGUGAAAUCCCCAGGCUCAACCUGGGAACUGCGUCCGAUACUGGCAGGCUUGAAUCCGGGAGAGGGAUGUGGAAUUCCAGGUGUAGCGGUGAAAUGCGUAGAUAUCUGGAGGAACACCGGUGGCGAAGGCGACGUCCUGGACCGGUAUUGACGCUGAGGCGCGAAAGCCAGGGGAGCAAACGGG
rnacentral:rRNA from 1 species